AGUGGUAUAGCUGGGCGAAAUGGUGGUUCCAUUCUGAGUUUUCUAAGGAAUUUCCAUACUGUUUUCCAGAUUGGUUGCACCAAUUUGCAGUCUCACCAGCAGU
rnacentral:pre_miRNA from 1 species